UUCGAAUGAAGAAGCCAGGUCAAUUUGCUCGCAUUAGGUUGGCAUGAGGUGCCAUAAAUUAUUAAACUUAGUUAUUUUUCUUCAUUUCAAUAUGUAUUUACUUUUAAUAAGACUCUUAUUGAUUGUUCAGGUUGUCGAUUUAUCCUGUCACUGAACCAGCGGAUUGUUUUGUUUUUGUUUUUGUUUUUUUAAUGCCGAUUCUGCUUGAUCCAUGGUUGAACGGCGAGCCAGAGCCUGAUCUGUGAUUCAAAAGAGUCAUCGUGAUUCCACACGGAUCCACUGAACUGAGAGCUAAGCAUACACACACUACCCGAUGGAGUUCCCAUUUACACGCAUUAUUUGACUGACAGACCGCAACGGUUGGAGUUAAAAAUCAUCAUUUGUGUUCUACUGAAGAAACAAAGUCACCUACAUCUUGGAUGCCCUGGGGGGUUGUGAGCGAGCAGGAGACCCAUAGGUUUGCAGAAGAGGAGGUCAUAAAACAACAUGACACCAAGAGGAAGUCCACGUUAGCCGUGCUGAAAGAUGACAGUGUUUGCGAGACUGCAAUGUUAAUGGUUUCUGGGAGUUGACGAGGGGUGCGGGGACAACGUAGAGAUUUCCCCUCUUAGUCCCACAUUACCACCCCAUUAACCUCUGACCCCAUCUUGACAAGAGCAGAGGAGGGCUACGGCGGAGAGGUUCAGCGGAGGGCAGAGCGAGCUAGAUGAGAGGAAAGAAGAGGCCAAGCUUGUGCCCCUGGCCUCAGAGAAAGAGAAAGUGGGGAGUGUGCCCCGUGACCUCGCGCACACACACAUGGUCUGCAUUUGGAUGUCUGCGGGUGGCACAGAGCUAGCGCUAAUCUGAAACAGCCUCUGCUAUAAACAGGAUGUUGGAGAGUGGACGAGAGGGAGAGAGAGAAAGCAGAAAGAAGGUGAGCGAGAGGAAGAGGCUGUCCUGAUUAAGGUGUCGGUUUGGUCUUACAGUUCUCCUGUAACAGCCUCAGUCUGUCCAUCUGUCUCUGUUUAUUAGUGUUUUCACUCUCUUUCUGUGAAAUAUAACUAUGGAAGCCUGUUUCUGCCUCAGAGUAAAAAACAAUAAAAAGGUAACUGUAACUUUAAAUCUCACAACUGUGUCUUUUUCAUAACUGCGACUUUUCUCGAAAUGUGACUUUAUUUCUUACAAAUGCAGCUUUAUUUGUCGCUAAUUGCAAUAAUCAUAAUUGCAGUAUUUUUUUCUUGCAAUUGCGACUAUAUCUCACAAUUUCAACUUUGUUUUAUUCUUGUGACUUUCUCACAAUUGUGAACUUUGUUUCUUGCGAUUGCAGUUAUCAUAAUUGUGGUAUUUUUACAAUUGCGACUUUAUAUCUCACAUUUUUU